GGCGGCGGACGGCUCAGGACAACGGUUGCACCCCCCGCGGCGGUCCCUGCUAGCCGGACACCGCUGGCAACCCGGCGCCAAG
rnacentral:rRNA from 1 species